UCGUUCCCAUGGCAACUGCAGCCUUGGCUUGAAUCUGGUGACAAGAAGGGCGAUGGCUAAGGAUCUGGAGCCUGAUUUUUACCUGAAAUGGGAGCACUGCGAGACACACGGAGUGAAGACCCUCUGCAACCUGAGGGAGCUCCUGACCCGACUCCAGAAUGUCCACAGGGAUGAUGUCUAUGUCUACACCUCUGGGUACCUGAACCCCAACAAGCUUUACCGGCCAAACCAGACCGUGGCCCAGCACUGGCGCAAUGCAAACACGCCGAGGGAGCGAACCCGGGUUUUCACACCCUCUGAGCCCAGAGUCAGACAGACAGCGGAGGAGAUGAAAGACGCAUGGACUUACUUCACAGUCAACACAGCUCUGCGUCCCGACGACACACACAACACUCGGCUGUACAGGUAUCUGAACCCACGCCGCCUCAAAGAGGGCUCGGAGAAGUUCCCGCAGGAGGACGACGAGGAGGACCUAAGGGAAAGACCCGUGCUUUCUCUGGAAAGACACAGGAAGGAGGAGCUCAGGCUGCCCGAGAUGAAGGUGCUCAAAUACCCAGAGGCGGCGUCCAGCCGCCAGUGCUCCGCGUCUGCCCAAGGCAGGGACGUGUACCGGUACGUCAGCUCCUACUUGGCUGGUAUAACGAAAACCGACAGAUACAGGAAGUUCCUGAAGUUCCAAGAAGAAGUGUUAGGGAAAGACCACGUCCUGAAGAACGACUUCACGGGGAGCAAGGUGGCUGUCAGCCACGAGAAAAAGCUGGAGGAGGAGCUCAAGAAGAUAUGCACCUGCAGCUCUCAGCAGUUCAACAGGCUGCAGGUCUUUGGGGAAAUCUUUGAGGACAUUUGCAACAGCUCGUUGAUUUUUGGGGAUCUCCUGAAAGAGAUUAAGGAUGAAUAUGAACUCUACAUGGCGGCCUUGCUGGACUCGCAGCCCACAGCGCAGUACAAGCGGCUCCUGGCUGAAGUCAAGGGGUUGGAGAAGAGCCCUGUGCACAGCACAGACGUUGACCAAGCCAAGGAGCAGCUGAAGAAGCUGGAGCAGGCUGCCCUGGCCGCCCUGCAGCACAAUGACAGACUCAGGAAUGAACUGGAGGCAGAGAGGCUGUUGUUGCAAUCUGCAAAGGAAAAAUCGGAAUCUUCUGCCAGAAGCAGAAAUGAAGAGGACAAACUCACCCUGAUUGAGAAGGUUGAGAAGAGGAGAUGUGAGAUCCUAGAAAAAUGGGACGAAAUUAAAGUGCUCGAAAAGCACAUUAAGGAGACAUUGGUGCAUUCGAGGGUGUCAGAUAUCACCGAGAAUGGGAUUAAAAGUGUAGAGUCUAAUCCACACGUCCCUCAGUGCCCCUGGCGGGUGAAGAACUGUGACAGGAAGAGGAGGUGACUGAAGGCUACAGGGAGGAGCCUAGAUGCCGCAGGUGGUUCCAUGGGGGCUUCCGACAGAGAAACAACAUGAAGACACGGUACCCAACAGGACACUGCACACAGCACACGACAGUCUGCCAGGCACCUGGCUGCGCGGAUGCCCUGGGGAGCAUAUCAUGAUAGAACUUUGUUCCUAUUCUGGAGCCUACCUGCCUGCCUGCCUGCCUUCCCUCCCUCCCUCCCUCCCUCCUUCCUUCCUAUUCUCCUUCCUUCUUCCCUCCCUCCCACCUCCCUCCCUCCCUGCCUUCCUUCACCCCUCCCUCCCUCCCUUCCAUUUCUAUUUCAAAGGAGAGGAUGCUGGAAGUGAGUGAUUGAUACCUGAUGUGAAGAUCAAGCCUGACUCCAUGCUGAUUUCAGAAAUAUCCAUCAUUGCGGAGCCCUCCUUUGAGAUAGUGGGUGGAUGGCAGGUGCUCGUACCUGAGGACGCUGGGUGAUAUAGCAAUCUGUGGUAGCCUGGCAGAAGCCAAUGACUGCCAGCUCACACCCUAGGACACUGGAGAGCCCUUGUGAGGCAUCCGCAAAUGAUCCCGUGGGUGGCGCUGAAGUUGGAGUGGCCACCCACCAGUCUUUGAUUUCUGCCAGAGAGGAGACUUACUCUAGAGGUGUAUCAUGACCCCCACUCCACAUUUCCCACAGAAGCUAGCAGGCCUCUGUGGCCAGGAAAAGAUCUGAAGCCAGAUACAUGGGGUUAGGGCGGGGGAGAGUGUGUAAAAACCUCCUAAAUAUUAAUGCUGUCCCUAUGGAGGAGAGAGCUGUGGGCAGGGAUGUUUCGGCAGAAAGGGGGGGGCGCUGAGAAAGAGGAGGGGGUGUGACCUUGUCCCCCAUCAUUCUGAGAGGCAGUGUGAGCCCACAAGCAUGGUGCUCACUUGGAUGGAUGAGUCCUGGCCACUGCCUUGUUCCCGAAGCUCUGCUUUGCCCAACUGCUUCAUAGGAUUUGAGUAUUUGCUGACCAGGGCUAAAGAAAGGGAAAAGGCGGAAUAUUUGGUCCUGCUAGUCAGCUCCCAAUUAACCACACAGAGACUUAGUACUAAUCAUAAAUGCUCGGUCCACAGCUGAGGCUUGUUAGUAACUAAUUAUUUUUUGUUUUUGUUUGUUUGUUUUGAGACAGGAUUUGUUUGUAUUGUUUUGGAGGCUUGUCUCGAACUCACAGAGAUCCACCUGCCUCUGCCUCCUGAGUGCUGGGAUUAAAGACGUGUGCCACCAACGCCUGGCGUCAGUAACUAGUUCUUACAACUUAGAUUAACCAGUAUUUCUUAUCUGCAUUAGAUUAACCCGUGUUUCUCGUCUACAUUAGAUUAACCCGUGCUUCUUAUCUGCAUUAGACUUACCCGUAUUUCUCAUCUACAUUAGAUUAACCCGUGUUUCUCGUCUACAUUAGACUAACCCGUGUUUCUUGUCUACAUUAGAUUAACCCGUGUCUACAUUAGAUUAACCUGUGUUUCUCGUCUACAUUAGAUUAACCCAUGCUUCUCCUCUACAUUAGAUUAACCCGUGUUUCUCGUCUACAUUAGAUUAACCCAUGCUUCUUAUCUGCAUUAGACUAACCCGUGUUUCUCAUCUACAUUAGAUUAACCCAUGUUUCUCGUCUACAUUAGACUAACCCGUGUUUCUUGUCUACAUUAGAUUAACCCGUGUCUACAUUAGAUUAACCUGUGUUUCUCGUCUACAUUAGAUUAACCCAUGCUUCUCCUCUACAUUAGACUAACCCGUGUUUCUCGUCUACAUUAGAUUAACCCGUGUUUCUGCCACGUGGCCGGCACCUUUCUUUAACAUGUUGCGUUCAUCUUGCUUCUCCCCACAUCUCCUGGAGACGCCCCCCUUCUUCAUCCCAGUGCUCUCUCCCAGUCUGUGAGUCCUGCCUAGCCUCUUCUCACCCAGCUAUUGACCACGUAGCUCUUUAUUAAACCAAUGAGAGCAACACAGUGUACAAAAGGACUAUUUCACAAUAUGGGAAUCACCUGGGUCCCUUGUCAUCUGAAGAUCUGUUUCAACUGAACAUGACAUUUCCCCCCAAACAGCUGAGCUUCUUUGAAAUACAUACAGUAAGUAUUUUCGGCAGGUUUUCCCAUGCUGGGGGUGCGGACCCACAGCCUUGCUUACUGGGAAAGAAAAAGACAUGCCCAUGAGGGCUCAGGAUGGCCCCCACUACCCGAGGGAUGGAAGUCUGGGCUACACCCUGCCCCUGUGUGCUGACAAGCUUGCUUCAAGUCCAGCAGGGCCAUCCUGAAUUUAGCCAAAGCAAAUAUUCUGCUCCUGGUAUUUUCUCACCCCCAUACCCUUGGGAGUCCUUAGAUUUCAACAAGACAGUUUUCAUCCUUUCUUGAGAGACUAUUCAACUGGGCCGUGGUGGUUCAUGCCUCUAACCCAGCACUUGGAAUUCAUCAGAAGCACAGAGUUUCUCUUGGCUUCCCUAGUGAGAUAGAAGAGGCCAGCCUGGGCUAUCUAAGAUGGCUGUGUGAGACUAAAAAAAGAGAGAAUUUCUCACAACAGCUGAUGUCAGGCAUGACUGCCAGAGUUAAGUUGUUUCAACUUCUGGGCAUCUGUCUCGUUGGAGACUCAGACAACAGCCAUCGACUCUGCGGCUCUCCUAGGUUCAUUGCCGCACCUGCUUCCCAAAUUUCCCUGCAGAAGUGAAUUCCUGGAGUGAACUUGUUAACUGGUGCAGUUCGCACACUGUAGUUCUGGGCUGGGCUUUUCUCCACGAGACGCCUGUUGCUGAUGGGGAUCUUGGAGCGUCUUUCACAAACGCAUGCCGGGACUCCACGGCCUCCAUCAGUCUGCUCAUUAUGAGGAGGGCUCUCGUUUCACCUCUGGACAUCCCUGCUCUGUUUACUGUUGGCAUGGUAUCAGCACUUGCAGUCUACAGGGAAUAUAUUAAUGAGGCUUUACCAACUGUGUCACCCUUAUAUGGAAUUGCCACCCAGAUCAGGGCCUUCUGGGGGGGGGCGGUGAGCACCCUGCAUCAGCCACACGCACUUCAGCUUCUGGCUCUCUGGGCCAGCAAUCUCCAUUCACCCACUAUGCUAGAACUUGAGACGAAUGUGAAAGACUCUGAAUGUCAUGUUCCUUGCUAAAAACAGUUCCCCUUGCCUCAUCUGUAGUCAGAAUACAUGGCCGGUCCUCAUCGGCCAAUAUCACACACCUGACCUACAGCGUGGCCUGAUGUAUGUCAGUCACAUUUUCCAAGGAGGUGAUUUGGAAGGCCCUAGGCAGAUUUUGGUAAAAUCUGGCUGGGUUCAGAACCAGGGUUAGGGCAUUUCUCUUUGGUGCCCCAGCCUGACACUCAUUCAAUCUAGAAAGGGGUAGCCCUCUGGAACCUUCCGCCUUAAGUUGAGCUGAGUUCUUUUCACGCCUCAGGUCCCUCCAAGGUUGCUCCCACCCAUCGCUCUGUCACAUUCUACUCCCUGAUGUACUCUAAGUGGUCCCUUCUGGCUCCCGGGAUGCCCAGGCACAUGCUGGAAGGGAUGCCCUGUCCUGCCCCUGCCUCCUGCCCCUUCCUUGAUUCUGAGCCCAGUGAGUUUUUCUUGAAGCUGUCUCAGCAGGGCCCAGGUCCCCUCACCCUGGGCUACUGCACUCUUCUCUUGCCAACACACCUGCUUGGACUCACUGCUUACUCAUCUGUCUGCUUGGAGAUGCCCGAGCUAUCCAAGCCAUGGGGUCUCCUAACUUUGACCCGGUUUUGCAUUUAAUUGUUUAUCUGGGGGGGUAUGGCCAUCUUCCUCUUACCUGCCUCAUGCGCUAUGGGUGUAGGUUUGUGUGAUCCACUCCUUGAGCUAAUAGCAGAUGCUGUGAGCACUGGUCUUCAUGCACCUAGGCCUUCUGUAUGCUAAGGUAUCACACCACCAGCAAAGGGCUAAGUCCUGUCACUGUCCGUACACAGAAAACUGUAGGCGACACUGCCCAGCUUCCAAGCCAGGCUGAGGUCGUGGAGCCUGCGAGAGUGGAGAAGGCUCUGACUCCACAGUCCUUCAACAUUGUCUGACCGCUAAAGAGUACCAAGGCGCGUUCAUGUUUUGCAGUGUUGGUUCUAUGAAAAACAGCACAAAUGGCCAGGGCUACGGCAUGAUCCAGCCACACCCGCUGCUGGCUUCACACCUGAAAGGGCUGGCGUGGGUGAGAGGAAGGCAUGUUCUGCCAUGCUCAUCGCAGCCCUCUUCACGGGGACCCGUACACGGGAAGAACGUGUUUGCUGACGAAUGAAAAAAGGGAUGUGUGCACACAGCAGGCGUGACUCAGCCUCACAGAGGGGAUCCCCCACCCCUUUUUUUUGGCGAUGGUGUGGAUGGAUGCAGAGGGCAAUGUUUUGGGUGAUAAGUUGCUAACCUCACUCAGGUGGAGUCUGCAGCCUCCGGAUUACAGCGUAGACUCUGGUUUCUAGGAGCCGAAGGUGUCCUGGUGACAGGACAUGAAGGUUGGUGACAGGGUAUGAAGGUCUGAUUGGAUCAGAAGCCCUCUGCUCUGCACUGUUGUCUGGUGCACUGACAACGGCUACCGAGGACCAAGAAGCUAGCAGGAGGAAGAGGCCAGGAGCCACCGGGGAUAGUCAUCUUCUCAGGCUGUGCCUUGAAGGCAGCUCUCUCAAUCCUCCAUCCUGCCCAUGCCCUCCUGCAAACGCCCCCGGACCUGUACAAUGAACAGAGGACACUCUGGCGUGUCUUCCUCAAACACUUCACUGCAGACGUGGACACUUGCCUUCAUGGUAGAGCUAUGGAGCCGUGCUCGCAAUCACCCCCACAAAAGGAGGCUCCCCGAGAAGCAGGAAUUUCUGCUUUGGGCUCUUCAUUUAAGCCUCGGGCACCUAAGCGACUACGUGCUUGGAUGUGGAGUAUGGUGUCAGCUGCCCCUGGUGCCUGUUCCCCAGAGGCUCAGAGCAGCGGGAACACAGGUCAACCCUGUCAAGAAGACAACCUGUGGUGAAUACCAGGACCAGGACCAGGAAGCAUCCGAGGAGCCAGGCACAUUAAAGCUGUAAACAAUUAGCCCUCGAUAGGUUUGUGUCGGGAGAUCCCUUGCAAGGAGGAGUGACACUGGACGGUUCACAAAUGAGCAGACUGGGAGGAACAUGCUCAUUACAGAGUAGCUGGGGGCAAAGACAGGCAGGUGCCAGGUGCUUGUGAGGGCCUGGGGGACAUGCCAGGGGUAUCGCUGAGCCAUCAAAAGCUCUGUUACUGACAUUCGCUAACUUACUGUGAAGGAAUUACUAUCCGUGUUGUUUUUUUUUUUUCCAAUUGUGUAAAACUGCAAUUUCACACAAGCAAAGGAAAGGGCCCUGUAUGUUAACCGCACAGUCCCAGACACCAUCAGCUUACUCUCCAUCUGUCUACAUAGAAAGGUACAGCCCCUCACACAUACAUUUUUCUCUGUCUUGAACACUUUUUUUUUUUUGUGGAAAGGAAGGCAAGGUAUCAGUCAGUUUUAUUCAAAAGUACUUUGAUGUGAACCUCCACAAGAAACAAACUCUGGAAGGACACAAUGAUCUCAUCAUCUCCUCAGAAUCAAUGGAAAUAAUGGAAACUUCCGCAGCUCUGCCAGAGUCAUCCUGGACACCGACAUCAACGGGCAUGGCUCGUUCUGAUUCCCCUUUGGGAUUUUGCAUUGUGUUGGGAAGGAUGCUUUAGCAGACAGGAUUUCAUGCCUAAAGGCAAUCACUUACCAACUGUGUAUCCCGACUUAGCCACUGUUGUUUGGGGAGUUGUCUCAUCAGAGGACCAUGUUAGAGCCUGGUUCCUACCUCCUUUGGGAGGUGGUUAUCAAGUCAGUGGGGUAUGCAUUUGUGUGACUUUAUCCUUCCACUUUGUUUCUCUGUGUUUGCCUGUGUGUUUGUCAGAUUGAUGCAAGGGCAGGGGGUCAUUCAGGAAGAGGCAACCUCAGUUGAGAAAAUGCUUCCAUCAAAUUAGCCUGUAGGGUUUUUUUCUGUUUUGUUUAGUUUUGGUUAAUUGCUGAUGUGGGAGGGCCCAGAUCAGUGUGGGCGGUGCCAACCCUGGUUAGGUGGUCCUGGGUUGCAUAAGAAAGCGGGCUUAGCAAGCUGUGGGAUGCAAGCUGGUGAGCAUGGCUGCUUCAGUUCCUGCCUCCAGGGUCCUCCCCUGACUGCUCUGGACGGGGCUGUGAGCUGUGCGAUGAAAUAAGCCCUUUCACCUCAAGUGGCUGUGCGCGUGGUGUUUAUCAUUAAGACACCUUCUUUGCUCUCUGUUCAUUGGUCCAUGAGAUGGAAGAAAGGCUGACUCUGCCAGGUCUCUUCCUACCAUGAUGACCGGCUCCCUGGAAACGCAAGAUAGAGGCUACGUCAUCAUGGACCGGAACUGUCCAAACCACGAACCAAGAUGGUCCUUCCCUCGUCAUGAGUUAACUGUUUAAUGUAUUGUUUCGGUGACGGGAGGCACAUUGUCACACUCACCACUCUACAUUGAAGGCCCACAGUGUUUUUCUUCCAAUCUACAAAGCUGAGUAUAGCACUUGUCUAAGGGAUUCUGAUGGGCCCCCUCCGUGCACCUUAGGGCACACUUGGUCCAUGAGAGAGUAUGGUAACCAUUAUCUCCCCAUGUUCUACCCCAGCUCAUUCCUGUUUGCAAACAUCGUAGGCAGGUGAGGUUAACACAGACCUGCUUCAUUUCUGAUGUACACUGGUCUGGGAUGGGGGUGUCCUUACAGCCGGGGUUACAUGUGUCGUUCUCCAUAGCCAUAAAACACACAUGUGGACCUACCCCUGUGUGGCAGGGGAAUGGCUUCUGAAAUGUAGUAUCUACACUAAAUUCUAGGGAACUUUGGAAUCUUUGUUUACUGUCUUGUUAUGAGUGUGUGCAUCUGUUUUUGCACAUACACACACAUGCAGGAGGCUAUCCAGUCCUCUUUCUAAGAACGAGUCAUGAAGGAAUCCUUAUUUUGAUUACUGUUCCUCAUGGGCAAAUACUGUUUCAAGUCUUAGAAUUAUUUCCAAAGCCUGUCCAUGGGUACAUAUCCCAGACUUGACCUCCAUUCUACUGAGAGAAAACUACCCAAACUCUUUCCGAGAGACUUUUUUGUAUCCCCUUACCCCUUUUGCUUUGAGAGGACCAUGUGCCGUUCUCGGUGCGAGAACUCUCAUCGCCAGCUUCCCUUCCCAUCACCACAGUGUUUAGUGAUGUUAGCUUUUAGGGAGCGAACCAUACUCCCCUCCUUGGCUCUGUUGCAUCUGUGAAGAUGUUCAGUAAUGGUAGUGUGCUUUCUCUCUGCAGUUCAUACUUGCUUAAAAAGGAACUGUCCUAGUCUACUUUCUGUUGCUGUAAUAAAACCCUGACCGAAAACGGAAAGAAUUUCUUUAGCUAAUAUUGAGGGAAGUUGGGGUAGACACUCAAAGCAGAGGCUAGGCCGUGUGGGAGCAUGGCUUACUGGUUUGUGAUCUUAAGGCUCCACUUGAUUUCUGAUGCAGCCUAGGACCAUCUGCCUAGGGAUGGUGCUGCCCACAGUGGGCUGGACCCUCCCACAUUAAUUAGCAAUGUAAAACAAGCAACAACGAAACAAACCUAGAAAUCUAGUGCAGUGGAAACUCCCAGGAAUCUACAAGGAUGACCCUAGCGAAGACUCCUAGUAAUGGGGUAAUACAGAGCCUGGGACAGCCAUCUUCUGUAGCCAGGCAUGGUUUCCAGUGGAGGGACUGGGACAGAAACCCAGCUACAAAACUUUCAGCCUACAAUUUUUCCUGCCUGCCGGAUGCCCUGGGAUAAAAGCAGUGCGGGACUCUGGGCCCAGUCUCCAGCACUGCAUAAGCUGUGUAUGGUGAAACAUGCCUGGGAUCCCAGCUUUCGGGAAGUGGAGGCAAGGGGGUUAGAAAUUAAAUGUCAUGCUCGGUUGCAUAAUGAGUAUGAGGCUAUCCUGGGAUGCAUGAGACCAUUUCUUGAAAUACAGGGACAGCCUUCACCCCUGACCUAAAGUGAACUCUAUCCCCAAGAUCCAAAGAAUACUUUCUUUUUUUUUUUGGUUUUACAAGACAGGGUUUCUCCGUGUUGUUUUGGAGGCUGUCGGUCUAGCCUGGUCUCGAACUCACAGAGAUCUGCCUGCCUCUGCCUCCCGAGUGCUGGGAUUAAAGGCAUGCGCCACCAAUGCCCGGCUACAAUACUUUUAAUAUUUGUAAUGAUAUUAUAUCUCAGGUUUUCAAUCUUUUAAAGCAUUUGAAAAACUUUAAUUACGUGAAUGUGUUUGUGUCAGUGUGUGGGACUGUGCAUGUGUGGUGAGUGUGGGUGCCCAGAGAUCUGGGAGGGCUGGAGUUAUGGGCAGAUGGGCUUCACCCAACAUAUAUUCUGGCCAACUAGCUUGGGUUCUCUGUAAGAGCAGAGUGUGCCAUUGACCACCGACCCAUGGCUGCAGGCCCACAUUACCAGUGGUUGUUUAUAACUGUAAUUGUCCAUAAAAGACUGGAAAAGACAGAAACGUUCUAAGAUCUUGAGUGUGUCCUCCCUGCUCCUGGGGCCUGCAGGCUAAUCCUUGGGCAGUGUCUCACACCUUUACACUUGGAUCAAAGAGCCAAUGCCAAGAGAGACCCAGAGGCAGGAUGGCCUCGUGUGGGAUAUGCUACUGAAAAGCUGUCUCUUCCAGUCUCACUGAACAAAAUAUGGGGUCAUGGGAAACGAUUUCUUUCGAUUACCCUGGCUUCACAUUUUAUGUUUCCUGGCAUGCCACUAGGACUACACAGGAAAAUAAAUAGCCACUUGUCUAUAUUUUGAAGUUUACUAUUGCUCCCAUCUCAGGACCAUGCAAACACAGUGUUGCCGGAAGGUGUACAUUAGGGGUGGAAAUACCUACUGGAGAAGAAGCAGGGGCACCAUGCAAGCCAGUGGUGACUCCAGCGCCCUCUCUCUGGCGGCAUCUGCUCCAUCCUGUAGCUCCCUCCAAUUCGGCGAUUUUGCUAGUAAUUUGUACUGUUUUGUUGAAGCAUUUACCAACUAAUAUUGUAGUUGUUCACCAAUAAAUGCCAUUUUUUAUUUA